AACAGUUGAGGCCGCUGUAAUGGGCUCCCUUUCUCAUGCAGUGUCUUCUUCAUUUGCCCCUUGUCACUCAAACCUACAUUGGAAAAAUAUGGGAGUCUGCGAGGCACUGACUUCCCAGGGAGAGACUUCCAUGUGUCGAGUACAAUCUGAGGGCUAAAAACAGACCCGAUCUGAAGAAAGAGCAGAAAGGGAUCAGUACCAAAAAUCCCAGUGUGUGAGCAAAAGAGAUGCUGUGGAAUAGAAAAUGAUUCCAAUCACACCAGAGAUGACAGCGCAUUUCUUGCCAUUUUACCGUGUCCUAGGCAAUGUGUUACGUGUUUCUCAUUCCCAUUUCUGUCCUCAGAAAGACACCGAACAAAGGCUGUUAUUAUGCCCAGUUGAGAGACGAGGAAACCCUGACCACAGACACACAGCCAAUGAAACCAGAAAAGAGAAGCCAGAGCUGGAACUGGCCAGGAGGAAGGGGCAGAGUGGGGCAUCUGCCCUACUUGAGUUGGAAGCCUUUCAUCCUGCCUUUCCCUGACUUCAUCCUCAUCAAGGUAAUCCUCUCCCCUUAACUCCUUUCCUCCCUGCCAUGGAGUAAGGUCAGAAGUCUCUGGAUGCUUGAGGCUCUGAUUGGACCACACCCACAGAAAACUUUCUUAAGCAAGGGUGCUUUAUUCCUUGAGUAGUGAGAGGUCUGGAAACCUGGGACAUUUUAGCCCAGCUACGACCCAUAUGCCUCCAUCUGGUAGUCAGGCUUCUCAGGACCUAAGCCAGCUGAAAAUUAUUCAGAGGGGAUACAUUAGCCUGCCUUGCCUGACCUGAGGUGGAAUGGUCCAUCUGCAGCCCAGAGAGUCAGCAAAACCAGGAGCUGUUCAUUCUGGGAAGGUGGAACCCUGAGAAUACAAGGGACCAGAGAUGGAACUGCAAUCUGAGGCUGGAGGUCUACAGUUCACUCAGAGUCCAGCAGCAGAUCCAAUCCAAUGGCCAAGGAAGGGAAACUGCCCUUCACAGGCAACAACAGCGGUACAAACUACAUUGGUUCUAGAAGGCUCAAGCGUGUGGCUGGAGGGCUAUGCCCUUCUCUCUUAUCCUCAUUCCUUCCAGACUCCAAGCUUGUGGAUUGGUACUGCCCAUGUUUAGGGUGAGUCUGUUCAAUUCAUUGACUCAGACACCAGAUUUUUCCUGGAGGCCCCUUCACAGAAGAUGUCUACUCAACUGUUUUCAUAGAAAUCCCUCAGUUCAGUCAAAGUGACAAUCCAAACUAACUAUCACAUCAUCUCUUCACCUUGCCAUCUCAGUUCAUCAGGGCUGCCAGAAUUCAUGACCACCGGAUGGCUACAGCAGCUUCAGAUAUCAAACAGAGUAAAGGUGCCCAGUAAAGAAAUGAAGUAUUUUCCUAGUCACAUUUGUUUGAGGGGGAAAUUUUGAACUAAACUUCUUUGGUCUCUUCUUGGGCUUUGAGGUCCUGUGUGUGUCUAAACUAAUCACGUGUAAAGGAGGUUUAAUUCCCACAGGUAAUUAGACCAACUGUGAUUCACAUCCUGGGUCAGAGGCUGCCUCACCUAACCUACUCACAUGGGGAGGAAAAGUCAAGAACAAAACUGAAGCCACUGAAAAUGAGAGGACACAGGGAAGAGAGUGUGCAAGGCAAGGCAGUCUACAGAGGCUGUAAGAAGUUCCCUGCAGGAGUCUCUUGAAUUCUUCCUGCUUUUUAAUAGAGUUUGUUAUGUAAA